rnacentral:rRNA from 1 species
ACGCGGGGGGCGCAAGCGUUAUUCGGAAUUAUUGGGCGUAAAGGGCGCGUAGGCGGUCUUGGCGGUCAGAUGUGAAAGCCCAGGGCUCAACCCUGGACGUGCAUUUGAAACAGCAAGACUUGAGUACGGGAGAGGAAAGCGGAAUUCCUGGUGUAGAGGUGAAAUUCGUAGAUAUCAGGAGGAACACCGAUGGCGAAGGCAGCUUUCUGGACCGAUACUGACGCUGAGGCGCGAAGGCGUGGGUAGCGAACAGGAUUAGAAACCCUAGUAGUCC